rnacentral:lncRNA from 1 species
CUGUUUCGCUCGCUAUUCCUCUUUCUUUGCUUACUGGAACGGCAAAGACAAGUAGCUCAAACAAGCUAGCUACUACCUGCCCACUUUUCUCUCUCCUCUUUCUCUUUCUCUUUCUCUUUCUCUCUCUCUAUCUCUAUCUAUAUUUUAUUUAGAUACGGACAUGUUUCGUGUUUACGUGUACACCUCAUUGUCGGUUGACCAAUGGUGGAAGAAAGAGAUUUCUGGAACUUGAGAUGAAAGUAAGGAAUUUUAUAAAGUUCAUCGUUUAAUUUUAGGGUUUAAUGUUUCCUUGGCAGCUCUAAGUUUGACUGAGUGAUAAAUGUUGAAAUUUAGGUAUCAGUUGUGUUUUUAUUUAUGGCAAUGGCGAUUAAUUACGUAUAUUUGAUGUCUCAUUUCAUUUACCCAUAUUUGGAUACGUUUGAGUAAUGGAAGAGUCAAAGGUGAUGACUGAUGCCUUUGGCAAGUUUCGUAUAAUUUAUUGUGAGCUUUAUUGAAGGAAUUAAAUAUCUGAUAGUUUAAUUACUGUAGUUUUUUUUUAUAUUAAUAUUAAUAUUUUGUUGCUUGCUUCAUUACUAGGAAAUGUCAGGUUUAUUGUAUGGAGUACUACUUGGAGGGAAAUUGUGCCUGAGUUUUAUUGUUUGAUUCGUCAGUUUUGAGAGAAAAUUGGCAAUGGCUAGUUGAAGGCAGUCUAGUUUAUCUCCAGUUGUAUAAGGGGGAAUUAACUUGUUAAUUAGAUAAAGAAAAUGUUGGCUGGUAGGAGGAGGGGGAUGCAUUUUAGCAAACUAUAUUCCUUCUCGUGUUUACGAUCUUCAUUUAAAGAUGAACAUAACCAACUUGGUGAAAAAGGGUAUUCGAGGAUUGUGUACUGUAACGAUCCCGAUAAUCCAGAAGCAGUGCAGGUGAGGAAUAGGCGUAAUUAUGUUUCAACAACAAAAUACACGGCUGUUAAUUUUAUUCCAAAGUCUCUGUUUGAGCAAUUUAGGAGGGUGGCAAACAUAUACUUUCUUGUUGUAGCUUGUGUUUCUUUUAGUCCGUUGGCUCCCUACAAUGCUUUUAGUGUUCUUGCUCCUCUGACGUUGGUUAUUGGAGCUACUAUGGCUAAAGAAGGCGUGGAAGAUUGGAGGCGUAGAAAGCAGGUAACUUUCCAUAAUAGUUUUUAAACUCUUCAAGAAUUUUGAUUUGGCUCUUCUACUUGCACAUAUGUAAUGCAUUUGUCUUUUGAUAGGCUUCUUUCUAAAAAUUUGCUGAAUGGUCAUCAGCAAAUUAUAGCUUAUCUAGAGACAGAAUACAUUAGAUAGAGGAAGAGGACAUUGCUAAUAUUAUCGAAAAAUUGGGCAUUAUAUUUUUAUUGCGACAACGGUCACAUUGUCUUUCUUUUUUGGUGGCCAAGUUAGCUGUGAUUUGUAUCGAUUUACAUUUGCGAAACAUUGGCAUGGUUCCUGGGAAUAAUAGUAAAGGAAUAUAGAAAAAUGGCUGGUCCUUAAGUCAAUACUUCCUGAAUGUGUACCUAGUAGUGUUAAAAACCAAACAAAUUACUCUCACAUCCAAAGUAACUUCUCCGUUACUCACUUAAAGCCUACAAAUAAGUCAGUUAAAAUAUCGUGCCAACUCUCACACCAAAAUGGAUGUGGAAAUCACGGGUCACAAAAUGAAUGAGCUUUAUAGGAAAUGGAGUAGAUAUAAAUCAAGUGAGAAUAGUAGGGAUCUCAAGUCAACCCUUUGCAACAAUCCUUGUUAAUUUUCCAAUCUGUCUGCGAUGGGGAACUAUGUGUCAGGUAGAGGGUUUUGGGCAGCAAAUGAAUAAUUAGUAUAUUGUAAUAGGUAGUACAUUUUGAGUGACCAUGUGAGCACAUGGGAUAGUUUGUUAUAUUUGAGUUGUGUUACUCGGACUCGCCACUUUUGGAUGGAGUACCCGUGUCGACACGACACGGGUACGGGUGCAGGAUUCGUACGGGAUUCGGCCACAUAAAUUCGGAUACGGCUGUUUUGGGAAGAAGAGCCGUGAGGAGGAAGAAGAAGAAGCCGUGAAGAAGAAGUCGUAAGAAGAAGCGGUAAGAAGAGAGAGAGAAAAAUCAGAUCUGAAUAUAAAAUAUAUAUGGACAAUUACAAUUAGAUACCUCAUAGUUUUUAAAAUAUUUUAAUUUAGUCCCUAAGGUUUUUUGAAAGUUCAUAUUAGCCCCUGAAAAAUUACAUAUCAGUCCCUAAAGUUUUUUUUUUACAUUUCUGCCCCUAUUUUUUUAUAUUUUUACACUUCAGUCCCUAGAGCAAAAAAAACUUUGGUGAUAUAAUUUGAAACAUUAUUGUUAAAAAAUCAUAACAUACCGUAUCCCCGCACCCGUGUCCAAAUUCGGAUCCAUAUCCGCGUAUCUUCUAUUUUUUGACUUCACGUGUCCGACACCUAGAUUCGUACCCGCACCCUACACCCGCACACGAGUCCGAGUAACACAGUAUUUGAGUGAAAGAUAUGAAAAGUAGUGUAGGUUAGUAACUUUACUUUUCAACAUUCUCUUAUUCUCUUUCUAUAAAUAGUUGUAUCUGAGAAUUAUUCUCCAAGCAUUAUGAUUUAAGUGAAUUAAUUAAAUGAAGAGAAGCUUGUUUAAGCUCUCUCCUUAUUUUCUCCAUCUCUCAAUUCUCUCUCACGAACUCGGUAGGAAUUAUUGAAUUUUCUAUCAUUCUUUCUCCCAAAAUACUCUCUAUCUAUAUCUGUUUAUAUCUCUAUUUCUGGUCAGGAUCCUAGAUGGGUCUGAAAAAUUGGUAUUAGAACCCUAGGUUCUAUCCAAACUCAUCAUCUUCUUCCUCUAAUCCUCUAUUUCUUCUCUAUCUUCAUGUUCUGAUUUAUUCUCUUCUAUAAACCCAAACUGAAAUCUACUUUUUCUAUUUAACCUCUAUUCUAUUUUUAGAUUCUUAUUUUACUGUUUCGUCACUGUUCAUAAACUCAGAAAACCCAAAAAAAAUCAGUCAAUUUUCUUAGUUCUUACCAUCAAAACACUUUGGGUAGUUCAUUACUACUAAUAAACAUCAACAACUUUAGAUUCUAGCCACAAGGGAGUAAAAACACCACUUCGGUGGCUUUGUUUUUUUGCAAGCCUACAACUCAGAAAUUACAAGUGUUAAAAGAACUUGAAAACGCUUCUAACUCACUCGUUUCAGUCGCACAUAAAUAGCUCAUACCAUAUAUCUCAUUAUUAACAUCACCCAAACAUGUUUCAAUCCAUAUAAUGCUUGUUCGUCUCUGUCCGCAAAAAUUACACCAAAUUUUAUGGUUUAAUUUUGUUAUAUCUGCAAUUGUUUGUGUUUAGAAGACUCAUUUACUUUGUUUAGCAUAUUUAGUGUCUUUACAAACUAUCAAAAACCAAAAAAAUCAAAAUCUAGUCCUUAGUUAAUUAUCCAGUCCAUAUACAAACAGUUUCAACUAUAAUUUUAGUGAGAACACUCAUUACUACUCUGGUAAUUAGUGUUUAAGCUAAAUUUUGAGCUCUUGGUGUUUGUUCUUGUUUUGUGUGCUCAGUUACUCUUUAAAAUUCAACUAAGCUGCAACUAGUUGAAUUUAAAACUUGUUCUGCCUCGGAUACUCACUUUGUUUCAUUGAGGAUAUCCAUUUCUUACUUAAAAACACUCGAGCUCAUUUACUCUGACUCAAGUAGUAUUGCUACUGCUUGGGAUUAAUUUUCAAACUCGAUAUCACAAUUGUCUUGUGAUUCAUUUCAUUUUAAAACUCUGAAAAACAUGGUUGAACCUGCACACCAAGUGUUCAACCAAAACAAGAUUUUUUUUGAGUUAUAGAGAUUGUACCCAUGAGAAGUUGCAGCUUAUUGAUGAAAAAAAUGGAUUAUUUCUUUUGUGGUAUGAAUGAGUUGCUGAAAGAGAAAGGUUCAGAAUAUGAGAAGUGUUUUGUUAACCCUGUUAGUGAUAAAAGGAAGGGCAAAAUGUCCGUUCACGUGGGCUAUAAAGGAAACAAGGGAUUGUUUAGAAAUUCCAGCAAUGCUUAGAAGAUAAGGGCCAGAACAAAUGAAGAAAAUGAUGUGCAAUGGAGGAGGAUGAACAAUUUUGGUGAAGAAAAUGAGAAGGAAAAGAAACCCAAGCAACACAAGCUUGUGUUACCAUCAUUCGUUGCAGAUGAUAAUGCUAGAAACUGGAUCAAGGGAUGUGAAGAAGCAAAUUGUGACGGAGCCCCUAUAUAUGAUGGUUAUGUUGAGUAAGGAGGCUAAUAUGAUGAUCCACCUACCUAUGAUGAACCACCAUAAUAUGAAUGGAAUUAUUGCUUUGAUGAAACGGCAGAGUUCAUUGACAACAUUCAACAAUGUGCUACACAACCAGAAUCUGAAGAAGAGUUUUGGUAUAAUGAAGUCUCUUGUUCUAAACCACACUUAACUAGUUUACGAUGCGUAUGACUAGCUAGCAUGCAUGUCAAUCAUGUCUAUAUGCAUAUUCAUAUCUUAACAUGAUAGUCAAAAUCUCAGAAUACGUGCAAGGUUGUCAUCAACCAAAUUAGUUUCCCAAACUCUUAAGUUUCUUUAGAAACACAUAUAAACCAAGCUAUGCAACCUAUUAUAUGCAAGUAGACCUGGCAAACGGGCGGGCCAAAAAGGCCCGGUUUUUACUGGGCCAAAAAUCUGCAGCCCAAAGCCCGGCCCGUGGCGGGUGGGCCAAGACCAAUUAUGUGCCUAUUUCAUACUAUUUUUUUGGGUUUGACCCAAAUGACCGGGCCAAAUAGGCCCAGAUUUUACUGGGCUAAAAAAUUGCAGCCCAAAGCCCGGCCCGCGGGCUUGGGCCAUGUUUGCCAGGUCUAUAUGCAAGGCAACUUAAAAUCACGCUUCAUGUGCACAUACUCAAGUCAUGUACAUAGGCUAGAAAGAUCAAAACUUAAAUGCACAAGGUUCAUCAUGCUUUGUUUUUCAAACUUCAAGUUUUCCUUUAGAAAAUCAUUAAAACCAAGCUAGCAAAACUUAUUAUUCUCGAAGUAAACAUAUGCCUUAUGUUAGACUCAUUUACGUACAUAUUUAGGCUACUUAUACAUGCUCACGAGAGCAGAAUGCAAGUAAGGGCUGUUUGAAAUCAUGGUUAUUUUUCCAAACUUAUAAGUGUUCUUUGAAAACUCAAACUUAAAACAAGCUAAAAUAACUUACUAUGUCCAAAACAACAUCUUACCACAUGCUAGGGUCAUUUACAUGCAUAAACUAACUAACAUAACAUGUUCAGAAUAAGACAAGAUCAACAAAAUCAGUAUCCAUGACUGGCAGUCGGCGCGACCGCGCGGUCAUGUACUAUAGAAGUGGCGCGGCCGCGCCACUUCGAGCAGAAGUAAAAAUAAUGGCUCUGCUUCUGCAGAGCCUCAACACAACCAAUGUUAAACCUGUGACCAGACCAACUAUAUUGCUCCUAAACAUACAUACAAGUUUAGAUAACACAUGAAUGACAGUUACCAACCCCAUUAGCAAGAAUUCAUGUAUAUUCAUACAUUACUCAAAAUUGAAUUAAGAAUGUAAUAUCAUGUUAUACCUUUGCUUUGAAUUGGACAGAACUUCUUCCCAAAUUCAAACUACUCCCUCACACUCUCUAUAGCCACUAAUCAAGAAAUCUCAGCAACAUAGAAAAUAAAGGGAAGAGUUCAAUUUAUAGAAAACUUAUUGACCAUGCCAAGACAUUGCCCAAGAAAUCAAACCAUGGGAUAGAAGAAGAAUUCAUUGGAUUGAGAGAGUUUGGUGAAAAGAGAUCACCAACUCCCUCUCCUCCAUAUCUCAGUUCAUGAUCACAGCUAAUGUAGCCUUCAACUGUCGACUUGUUUAUACGCAAAUAAAGUUAGGCUACUGUUUGAGCACUGUAUUGGACACUUAAUAUGGGACACAACUUUAAAUCUCAGCAACUUAGUUAUAAAAUGCUUAGUUUGUUCUCUUGGAUUUUCAAAAUGUGAUUUUAAUGUGUUAAUGCUAUUACGUAAUGGAAAGUUAGAGAUUAUUUACGUACCCACAUCAUAUAAUUGGUCACUAAUAAUUCAAUAUCUCUUUAAAACUUUAUUAUUCCAAUUAGACUCACUUAUUGGUAAUUCUUUGAUAUAGUACAUCUUUAAUGUUCCCACACAUACGUGUGGUCACAUAAGCAUUAUUUAUGUCACUUAUAAUUUCUUCUACUUUACUAUAUAAUUUUAUAUAUUACAUAGUUACCUCAAAGUGUCACACUACACAUUCUUUUUAAUGUAGGUACUAUAUAUUAUUACAUACCUUGCACACAACAAUUAAAUGAGUAAAUAUAAUUUUAAUUAUGUGAAUUAUUUUAUUCAUUAAUUUCCUAUUAUUCACAAUAACAAUUAAUUAAUAAUAUAAUAUUAAUUAAUUAUUCACUUCUUAAUUAAACCAUUCCAAUUUCCAUUCUCAUGCCACACAAGGCAUUUUACAAAUCUCAUCAUAAACUCCACAUUUUUCUCAAUUCUUAUAAAUUCAAUUUGAAUUAAUCAUCUCACAAUACCUCAAUAUUUAUAUUCAAAUAAAUAUUCAUUUUCUUAUUAUAUCAAAAUAAUUAUUUAUUCAUCAGCUAGAGACCAACAAGUAUUAAUGGUGGUUGUAUUUGAAAGAAAAGAAAUUCAAGAACUGCAUGCUAAAGAUAAUACUGAGACAAGCUUUUGCAAUGGAGAAGUUACACUAAAUCAAAAUGUUGUUGGUGUUAACUUUUUAUACUGGAGAAUUGAGAAGACAAAAGUUUCAAAGAAUUACUAUGGGAAUAUUCAACAAAAUAAGUUCCCGAGUUUUGUUUUUGACACUAGAAAGGUGGUAAGACCUACCAAGAUUGGAAAACAGAAAAUUAGCAAAAUCUAUGAAGACAUGAAUGUUUUUAAGGAGGAGGGAAUGUCAGCCAGAGGCUAUUUUGGGUAGCAAAAGAAUAAUUAGUAUAUUCUAGUAGGUAAUACAUUUUGAGUGGCCAUGUGAGCACAUGGGAUAGUUUGUUAUAUUUGAGUGAAGGAUAAGAAAAGUAGUAUAGGUUAGUAACUUUACUUUUCAACUUUCUCUCUAUAAAUAAUAGUUGCAUUUGAGAAUUAUUCUCCAAACAUAAUGAAUUAAGUGAAUUAAUGAAAUAAAGAGAAACUUGAUUAAGCUUUCUCCUUAUUUUCUCUCUAUGUUCUUUCACGAACUCAGUAGGAAUUACUGAGUUUUCUAUCCUUCUUUCUACCAAAAUUCUCUCUCUCUCUAUCUCUGUUUAUAUCUUUAUUUCUUGUCAGGAUCCUAGUUGGGCCUGACAAUGUCUCACUUGGUUGUGUACUUUACUAUGAUAUGAGUUUAGUUAGAUCAUGUGUGGAGUCAUUGUUUUGCCUAAUUUCAUACAUUUCGUUUCCAUUUGGUUCAUAAGGGAUACUAUACUAGUGGUACUUAUACGUAUUCUAAUAGUGAUAUGACUAAAGGUCGUUAGUUGGAGAAGUGGCAUCCCUGUGCUGGUGGACAGCUCACUAAGGGUGGUUUGUAUAUGGUUUGUUGGUUUAUACGCUUCUAACAUAGUGUUCGAACUUCAAACAAGUUGAAUAAUAUAAUGUCAUGAAAUAAGGAACCAAUUAUGCUUGGUUAGGAAUCAAAUAAGUAUGCUGACCUUCAAAAUCUCUAGAUAUUAACUUGGAUACAUCACGAGCCCCUUCAUAGAAUUUUUGUUACUAUAUUAUGGGAUAAAUGAUUACCUAUAUUAGUUUAAGCUUUGAUUUAGACACCAGAGAAAAAAAAUUAACUUUCUAAUUUUGGUGUUAACACAAUUUGUUAUCAUCAAGGCCUUAGUCCAACAUGUUUCAAGAACAGAGUAGAAAAGAAAAGAAACAAAGGCACUCAAACAUUCUGAGAGGCAACAUGAAUCCUACUUCACCAAUCUGAAUUCUUAUGUGGCCAUUGUUCUGGAUUAAAUAAUUUCUCCUUUUGAUUUAUCUCUCUCUCUCUCUUAAUAUUUUGAUUUUAGUUUGUCUUGAUGGCAGCUGUAUGCCUUGUUGUAAAUGUUUUAUAAGGGUCUAAAAAUGUUAAAUAUUUCAAAACUUUUAUACAAAAGUAUAAAUUGCUAAACGGCAUAUAGCUGCAAAAGUGCUUAUUGAAGCCUCAUCAUCUGCUUGCUUCACUGAAAUAUCUCUCUGUAGCAACUGCAAGAUAUGACAACAAUAAUCUCUCUUUUUUUAUAUAUUCACUAAUCAGAGUACCUAAAGAGCUAGCGAAAUAGAUGUCACUAUGCCCAGGAUCUCCCCAUUACAUUACACCCUUACCAUCUAAAUUAUCUAAGCUCUUAGUGGUAUAAUGGUUUAUGUCUAAUGCAAUUAUCAAUUACCAAAGCAAAAUAGAUCCAGUACUUGUAACGACUGAGAAAUUCGGAUUUAUUGUAAAAUAAUUUUAUUUAAUUAAAUAAUGAAUAAAAUUAUAAUAUAUGUUAUUAAUAUGUGUUAGUAAGAUGAAGGUUGUUCUAUAACCUAAAUAUAUCGGAAUGUCGUAGUAUUUUGGCUACGUGGAGGAAUUAUAGUGUUUGAAUUUUCAAGACGAAAAUAAAUGCUUUUCGAGAAAUUUUCCGAAAAACACUAUUCACGGAUUUCUGCUUGGGAAUUAUUUUUGAACUUCCGAGAAAUACAUAACGAUAGAAUAAUAAGAGAUGAUGAAAUAUGUAAUAAUAUUUUGGUUAUGACAAACGCAGUUUUUCGUCUGCGUACUAAAUUUGAGAAGGUUAAGGAACGUAAAGACUUGUUUAAAGGAGGAUCGUAUAAUAUCAAGUAUUAUACGAAGUAAUGAAUACGAGUAUGUAUGAAUAAUAAUGUCGUAUAUUAUGAAUGAGUAUACGAGUUAGCAUACGAGAAGAAUACGUGUAUAAUACGUUAUAAGGCUUUAAGCCAAUUGGAUUGGACUUGUAGGAUUUGUGUAGGAAUUUUUCAAAGCCCAAGUGAAUUAAUGUUAAAGCCCAAUGUUUGAUAUUGCAAGCCCAAGGGUUAAGCCAAAGUUAUUAAAACCUAGGUCCAAAUUAAGAACUGGAUCCGUGGAUCGAACCGAUGGGUAAAUGGGUAAGAAAAACCCAUGGGGCAAUCCAUGUGGGCCCCAUGGAUCACAUGGCAACCAUCUUGGUGACCAAGUAAAGUGGUUUUACUUGGUGACCAAGGAUGAAUAGUAAGGAGGUGAUUAAGUAGGUGGAGAAAGGAGGUGGGAUGACUUAUUGUCCAAUUUGCCCUCACUUUGGAUUUCCUAUAAAUAAGAGAAGGUUGCUAGAUUAAUUGCUUGUUAAAUUUCCACCAACAUCUAAAGCUUAUAUUGAGAGAGAAAAGUAAAAGCUACUUUGCUAUAACAAGAAGGAAGAAGGAGAAUUAAGCUAAAGAACUUCAAGGGUAAGCAUCUUAAACCAUGAUUCUCCCUCUCUUCAUUUGUUAGAGAAGUGAGUAGUGGUAGAGCAUGUAUGAUAAGAAGUAUAAGGAUGGUUAUUAAUGGAUGAAACCUUAAUAAGUCAUGUUGUAAGAUGAGCAAAAUAAUGGAAGUUAUGAACUAAUGAAGAACUUGUAAGAAUUUGUCAUAUAACUGAUUUGAUGAAUUAUGUUUGGUUAGGAUGUUAGAUAUAUGGAAUGAAUCCAUUUUGAACGGUAUAAAAAAUCUCAAGUAACGAAGUUUUGGCAAAAUUUACGAGAUUAGACGAUAAUCGUCGAAAUCGUUAAAUUCUCGGAAUGGAAGUCAAAAGUUAGCAUUGAACUCGGAAACGUUGGUUUUCGAUGGAGAAUAGUCUCAAUUUGCAUUUUAGAGUUGCAGACUCGAAAAUGGUCAAAUUUCGACUUAGAACGAAGAAACGAGCUUAUGAACGUUCACGAACGUUUAACGUUUUCGUAAUAAUGAAUUAAUCGGUGUAUUCCGAGCUAAAAGAUUCGAAAAUAAAAUAUUUUCUAAUGACAUCGUAGAGCACGUGAUUUGUGAGCUAAUGGCUUUUGAACAAGCCAAUUCGAACUUAUAACGAACAAGUUAUGGAGCUAGAAAAUUCACUUAAGAAAUUGUCUGUCAAAAUUUUUCUGAGGCUCAGGGUCCGCGUCGCAGCGAGACCCAAAGAGGAAAGGUCGGCGCUGCAACGCCAGGCCAAGUACUCAACCACUGCAAAGUGACGCCGCAGCGCCAAGUCCAUGACUUAGCUACUCACGCCGCAGCGCGAGACUUAUAUGGUAAGCUGGCGCCGCAGCGCCAGCACUAGGUUAUGCAUAGAGAAGAAAUCUUAUAAAGAUAAAAAGGAAGUUGGUUAAUUAAUGAUGAACUAUAACAUUAAUAAACUUGAAGUAACAUCCUCAAUGAUGUUAAUAACAUUAAGAAUUUCAACUAAAGGUUGAAGAAAGACUACUUGAAUGUAAGUGUAAAACAAUGCGAUAAAUGUAACCAAUGUUAACAAAUCUAAUGAACGAUUAGAUUGAGAAGAAGGGUAAGAUAUAGUAAUGACCUUACUUGAUUAUAUACGACCUAAUGUGGUAUGUUAUGUGAUCAUAUAUUGUAGAAUCCUUAAAGACACAAAGAGAAUUUGUAUUGACUGUAGAAGACGCUAAAGGCAAGUGUUCUAACCCUUGUCUAUGUUCAUUCUAGACAAACUUUGUAAUUCAUGUACCUUACGCAUGAAUUGAUGUAUAAUGAAGUCGAAUCCAAUUCCUUCGGCUAGACUUAAGAUGUUUUAUGUAUUUCUUAUAAUUUAUCAAACUAUUGUCAAUGUUGUUUUUGCCAAACUAUUUUGGUGUGGUUUUCAAAAGAAGACUGAGUAUGCAUGAAUAAAUGUUUUGUCGUCAAACGAUAGGCACGUGAGGUUGCCAAACCUUAAACGUACAUAUGUUUAAAGAAAGUAGUGUUGUACAACAUAUAGUACUAUAGGCUGAUCACCUAGACGUGCUCGUAAGAUAUGUCGGACUUACGGACUUGGUGUCGGGUUGUCCUUUUCAAAAAAAGAAUGAAAUGCUAAAGGUCUUGGACCGAUAUUGUUGUUUAAAUAAAUAUUGUUCAUUGUGAAACGUUUUAAGAAAAGAGAAGUGCUAUUUUGAAUUAUCAAUAGUACUUCAUGACUAUUGUUUCAGUUAUUGAAGAUAUACGAUUCUUAUGAUUCAAGCCUGUUGUUUAAAUGAAAUUGUCAUACUUGCUGAGCUAGUUAUGCUCAUUCUUGCUUGAACCAUAUGAAUGCAGCUAAGAUCGAGCGGACUGAAGGUUCCGGUAAAGAUAAAGGAAAGGCCAAGGCCAACCAAUAGGUUGCCUUUGUAAUAGAAUAGGAUGAAUGUUGUUAUUAUUUGAUAUUAUGACAAACAAACAUGUAAUGGUUAUAAAGAACCUGGGAAUGGUAAUAUUAUUUUGGAAUAUAUAAAAGACAUUUUCACUCUUUUGAGG